GCCUGGGUGGCUCAGUCGGUUGAGCGUCCGACUUCGGCUCAGGUCAUGAUCUUAACUGUUGUGGGUUCGAGUCCCGCGUCGGGCU
rnacentral:tRNA from 1 species